rnacentral:rRNA from 1 species
GUGAGGAAUAUUGGUCAAUGGACGAGAGUCUGAACCAGCCAAGUAGCGUGAAGGAUGACUGCCCUAUGGGUUGUAAACUUCUUUUAUAAGGGAAUAAAGUGAGGGACGUGUCCCUUUUUGUAUGUACCUUAUGAAUAAGGAUCGGCUAACUCCGUGCCAGCAGCCGCGGUAAUACGGAGGAUCCAAGCGUUAUCCGGAUUUAUUGGGUUUAAAGGGAGCGUAGGUUGACAUAUAAGUCAGCUGUGAAAGUUUACGGCUCAACCGUGAAAUUGCAGUUGAUACUGUAUGUCUUGAGUGUACAAGAGGUGGGCGGAAUUCGUGGUGUAGCGGUGAAAUGCUUAGAUAUCACGAAGAACUCCAAUUGCGAAGGCAGCUCACUGGGGUACAACUGACACUGAGGCUCGAAAGUGUGGGUAUCAAACAGGAUUAGAAACCCGAGUAGUCC